rnacentral:misc_RNA from 1 species
CAAAAAAAAGUCCCUAAUAUGAUAAUGAAAUAAUGGUUACCAAUACAUCUCUUAUCCCAGAAACAAUUUGAUAUCAAAUUCCAACGGGUAUCAUAUUUACCCAUGAGAAUAAAAAGGAUGGAGCUUACUUCCAAAUACACAGAUAAGAUGCUUCUUCUUAGAAAAAUAUUAUUGACACGCCCAUUGUGAAGCAUCCUGCAGCCACCCAGGGACUCAAACGCUCACCUAUUCUGGCAGCUUUCCAGAAAAACCCACGAAACCCCGUUCUCUGUUCUAGGAUUGCCGGAAAGUGCAUCUUCACAAAAGUGCAAGU